GAUGAACGCUGGCGGCGUGCCUAAUACAUGCAAGUCGAGCGAAUGGAUUAAGAGCUUGCUCUUAUGAAGUUAGCGGCGGACGGGUGAGUAACACGUGAGUAACCUGCCCAUAAGACUGGGAUAACUCCGGGAAACCGGGGCUAAUACCGGAUAACAUUUUGAACCGCAUGGAUCGAAAUUGAAAGGCGGCUUCGGCUGGCACUUAGGGAUGGACCCGCGUCGCAUUAGCUGGUUGGUGAGGUAAGGGCUCACCAAGGCAACGAUGCGUAGCCGACCUGAGAGGGUGAUCGGCCACACUGGGACUGAGACACGGCCCAGACUCCUACGGGAGGCAGCAGUAGGGAAUCUUCCGCAAUGGACGAAAGUCUGACGGAGCAACGCCGCGUGAGUGAUGAAGGCUUUCGGGUCGUAAAACUCUGUUGUUAGGGAAGAACAAGUGCUAGUUGAAUAAGCUGGCACCUUGACGGUACCUAACCAGAAAGCCACGGCUAACUACGUGCCAGCCGCCGCAGUAA
rnacentral:rRNA from 1 species